AUUGAACGCUGGCGGCAGGCCUAACACAUGCAAGUCGAACGAGUGGCGGACGGGUGAGUAAUGUCUGGGAAACUGCCCGAUGGAGGGGGAUAACUACUGGAAACGGUGGCUAAUACCGCAUACCAUCGGAUGUGCCCAUAUGGGAUUAGCUAGUAGGUGGGGUAAAGGCUCACCUAGGCGACGAUCCCUAGCUGGUCUGAGAGGAUGACCAGCAACACUGGAACGGAGCCACGGCCCAGACUCCUACGGGAGGCAGCAGUGGGGAAUAUGGCACAAUGGGCGCAAGCCUGAUGCAGCCAUGCAGCGUGUAUGAAGAAGGCCUUCGGGUUGUAAAGUACUUUCAGCGAGGAGGCGUUACUCGCAGAAGAAGCACCGGCUAACUCCGUGCCAGCAGCCGCGGUAAUAC
rnacentral:rRNA from 1 species